rnacentral:rRNA from 1 species
UACGGGGGGGGCAAGCGUUGUUCGGAAUUACUGGGCGUAAAGCGCGCGUAGGCGGCUUUGUAAGUUAGAGGUGAAAGCCCAGGGCUCAACCCUGGAAUUGCCUUUAAGACUGCAUCGCUUGAACAUCGGAGAGGUAAGUGGAAUUCCGAGUGUAGAGGUGAAAUUCGUAGAUAUUCGGAAGAACACCAGUGGCGAAGGCGACUUACUGGACGAUUGUUGACGCUGAGGUGCGAAAGCGUGGGGAGCAAACAGG